GAUGAACGCUGGCGGCGUGCCUAAUACAUGCAAGCCGAGCGAACAGAUAAGGAGCUUGCUCCUUUGACGUUAGCGGCGGACGGGUGAGUUACACGUGGAUAACCUACCUAUAAGACUGGGAUAACUUCGGGAAACCGGAGCUAAUACCGGAUAACAUAUUGAACCGCAUGGUUCAAUAGUGAAAGGCGGCUUUGCUGUCACUUAUAGAUGGAUCCGCGCCGUAUUAGCUAGUUGGUAAGGUAACGGCUUACCAAGGCAACGAUACGUAGCCGACCUGAGAGGGUGAUCGGCCACACUGGAACGGAGACACGGUCCAGACGCCUACGGGAGGCAGCAGUAGGGAAUCGUCCGCAAUGGGCGAAAGCCUGACGGAGCAACGCCGCGUGAGUGAUGAAGGUCUUCGGAUCGUAAAACUCUGUUAUCAGUGAAGAACAAAUGUGUAAGUAACUGUGCACAUCUUGACGGUACCUGAUCAGAAAGCCACGGCUAACUACGUG
rnacentral:rRNA from 1 species